CUCCGCGUGUCUCAGUCACCGCUUCUGCCCAUGGGCUCACGACUGGGGGCGGCCAGGAUCACGGACUCGCUGGCCUCGUCCCCGGGGCGGCGGCGGGCCGCUUGUGGGAAAGACCCCGCGGGCCUGCGCAGGCCUCCCCAGACCGCGAGACCCGGCCGGAGACGUACCCUCCCAGCUCCUCGCCCCGGAGGCCCGCGCCGAGCCAGGAGCCCCGCGCCCAUUGGCCGAGAACGCGGCCGCUCGGACCAAUCAUAGGACGGCCCCGGCGCGCUGUGUGGAUCAUGAGUCAGGCGCGUGCGCAGUCGGCCCCGCGGCCCCCGCCCUCCCCGGGCGUCCUUCCGGCGGGUCCCGGCCCAGGCUUCCGAAGUUGGGCGCUGUCCUGCCUCCCCGCCCUCGGCCUAGCCUUGGGCGGGUCUAUCGCGCUGUCCCCAGCCCGAGACCGGCCGCCUCCAGCUGCCGAAUGGAGGGGCUGGGGGGGUUUCCCGAGGUCCGCGGCGAGGCUUGGAGCCCAGGCCCCGCCGCGCCUGAGGAGGCAGCCCCUCCCCCCCUUUAAGGGCCCCGGGGUCGCCGGACUGUACCGGGCCGGGUUGUGACCCCUCCUGUUGGACCCAGUUUCCGGCACCGCCGCCCUCGGGCACAGCCCCCUCCGGCCCUGCCUUGGUCUGAGAGGGGUCGCUAAGGGGGCGGAGGGCGCUGCUAGGUGGCCCUGCGGGUCUCCCGGCCUCGGCCCCGGCCCCCGCCCCCAGGCGGGAGGAGCGGGGCUCUGCACAAAGCCGCAGGUGGCCGCGGCCUCAGCUGACCCGGCCGCGACGCCCGGGCCCUCCAGGCUGCUCACAGCCUCAAGGGAAGGGAAUGGGCUGCGGUAUCCGGACCUGGCCCAGGACUCUGCUUUCCCAGAGGGAGGAGAAAAUGGAGGCUGAGCGUGCCGGGAGCCCAGCUGGAUGCCAGGAGCGUUUUGCAGAGGGACACGGGUCGGGGCUGCCAGCACUUCACCCCCCACGCAUAACGGGGGCGCACUUAGGUCUCCAGCACCCCGCACCGCCCAGCACCCAUGCCACUGCCACCUCCCACCAUCCUAGUCGUCCUUUCCUCCAUCAACCCUUGUUGCUGUGGGGGUCGAUAUGUGUUAGACUCCCACGGCCUGGACCUUUGCUCCAACAAGGGCCACCUGGCUGUGGAGUAGGACCCGGACGUCCUGGAGGGAAGGGCAGAGGCCGGCUGACCAGGAGCUCUGCAGAGGAGCCAACUCCAGCCUGCGGACCCAAGGCUCUGCUGGGCCCUGCCUCCCACUGGCAUGUAAACCUCUGUGGGUCACAAGGCUUGGAGCUCCGUGCUCUCUGCAAACUGGGCUUCCUCCCACCUGUCUGUGCUACUCAGCUGGAAAACUGACAGCCUACCCACUCAGUCCUCGGAGCAUUCCCGGACCUACAGGCCCCCAGCUAGCCUGACUCCCUGCCCCAGCCCCCACGGCACUGGCCUCCUGGUCCCCUGGCCUCCCUGCAGCUCCUGGAAGGCCCUUCUUGCCCGGGGCCUCUGCGCGCCCAGCCCUCUGAGGACUGUUCUUGCUCUAGGCGCCCCCAUCUCCUCCUGCAAAUCUUUGCUCAAAUGUCUUCUCAGAGGGCCCCCACACCUCUGUCUAUGUUCAGCCCCCUCCCUCACUCCUUGUCCCCCUCAAGCCCGGUUCCUGCUUGGGUUCCGGUAGCUGGUGGCCCCUUCCCCGCUGUACAGCUGCUGCCCUGCCUGGGACCUGAGCUCUUUCUGCCUCUGUUUCCUGCUGCAUCCCGCCUGACUCCCAGGAGACCUCUCUAAGCCUUUUCUGACACACAGCCAUGGCUGCAGAUCCCUGAGGCCACGUGGGGCAGAGAGAGACAAAUUAUCUCCUAACCCUCAAGUGACUGAUGUAAUGAGUCCCCCACACUGAAGGCUCCUGUCCUUGGCUCCCAGACACGCCUCCGUUUGGCUUGGGGCCACCGGCUGGUGCAGGGAUGUCACUGGUGUUAUCCUUGACAGGUGACUCAUUCACCUGAAGCCCUGGAUGCCCAUCCGUUCGGGGCCUGUAUCAGGACCAUAUGGGAGGGAACUCACUCCCUGCCAGCAGCCAUGGGAACAAGCUUGGAAGUGGCUUUUCCAGCUCAGCACGCAGCCUCGUGGAAGAGCACCCAGAUCCGACGUUUCUCUGGGGAUUUUGAAUCUCCAGGCAGUGACAGAGAAGACUCAGAGACAGAUCAGCAGCUGCACUGGGAGUUUGGGUCCUCACAGAGGAUGCAAGCUGUGCCACGCCCCCUGCCCAACUGAACCACGGGCGGCUGCUGGAACUCCAAAUACCACACACACCUCUACAGUCAAGGCACAAAGAAAGGACGAAGAGACAGGGCCAGUCACAUCUGUGCCCUUUUAUAGGGAAAGACAAACCUCCUCUAGAAGCUCCUCCAGCGGAUUCCCCCAAAGCCUCAAUGGCCUCAGCAGGCCCCAAUGGCAGCCGUACUAUGAGGGAUUCUGAGAUGGCACAGAGCCAGGUUGUCAUGGCAGCAUUGGCCAAGCAUGCUCUGUUCCCAGGGACUUGGCAGACCCCCAAAAAAGUAGAGUUCCAUAAGCAGGAAAGAAGGGGAAUGGAUAUUGGGCAGGCAGCAGGUCUGCCUGCCACAGGUGGGAAGACAAGGGUGGGGAGGCUCACAGAUUCCCCAGCAGGGUGGGGAUCAGAUCAAGGCUGCCUGGCCAGCUACAAAACCUGAGAUCCUGCUGCACAGCUGGAUGGGGCCAGAGCCUUGCUGCUGCUGCUGCUGCUGCUCCUGCUCCUGCUCCUGCUGCUCCAGCCACCUCAGCAACAGCAUGGAUGCUACAGAUGCCAGCUACCAGAUGUCCACUAGACCCACUGCUGGCCUCACUGCCAGAACCGAUUCUAUGCUGCCCCUGCUAAUGGUGUGAAGACGCUGCAGGCUUCCAGCUGAGGGUUGGAGGUGGAUGCACCUGAUUGGUGGAGCCCGGGCCAUGUGACUGAGUCCUGCCAGCAAGGGAUGCUGGGAAAGUUAGUAUCUACCAUUUUUCAAUUUCUACGGAGAGAUGAGUCCUGCUUUGCAAACUGGAGAUUAACAUUAGUUGAGAAUGAGGCUCCUUAUACAUGCAGGCAGCAUAAGCUGGCACAAGUUUUUGUAAAGUAAUGUGGCAGUGCAUAUGAGCAGCCUAAAAAAGCCUAUAGCCUGUCACCCAGUAAUUUCAUUUUAGAUAAUCUCUCUUAAAAUGGUGAUGGGGCCAGGCGCAGUGGACGCCUGUAAUCUCUGGGAGGCCGAGGUCAGCGGAUCAUUUGAACCCAGGUGUUCAAGACCAGCCUGGGCAACAGGGUGAAAUCCCAUUUCUAAAAAAAAUUUAAAAAUCGGCCAGGCAUGGUGGACCAUACCUGCAGUCCCAGCUACUUGGGAGGCUGAGGUGGGAGGAUCUCUUCAGCCCUAGAUGUCAAAGCUGCAGUGAGCUAUGAUUGCACCACUGAACUCCAGCCUGGGCAACAGACUGAGACCCUCAUCUCUUUAAAAAAAAAAAAAAAAAAAAAAAAAAAGGUAGUGUCUGGAGUGGUAGAAAAACUUUAAUGCUCAUGUCAUCUUAACAGAGGUGAUCAAACCAUAGUCAUGUGGCAGCAACUGACUUGUCCAGUGAGGAGAAUAAAAGAAUCUCAGCCCAGCCAUCCUACAAUGAAUAUUUAAUAACCCAGGGGAAAAAAAGUUUCAGUUGUAAUAGCAAAUGGAAAGAAGAACAGGAUAUACCUGUAGUUGUCUUGGCAAAGUCUUAUGAGGUAUUAUUCAUUGAAAGCAACAAGCAGGCCAGGCGCGGUGGAUCACGAGGUCAAGAGAUCGAGACCAUUCUGGUCAGCAUGGUGAAACCCCGUCUCUACUAAAAAUACAAAAACUUAGCUGGGCAUGGUGGUGCGUGCCUGUAAUCCCAGCUACUCAGGAGGCUGAGGCAGGAGAAUUGCUUGAACCCAGGAGGCGGAGGUUGCGGUGAGCUGAGAUCACGCCAUUGCACUGCAGCCUGGGUAACAAGAGCAAAACUCCGUCUCAAAAAAAAAAAAAAGCAAUAA